rnacentral:lncRNA from 1 species
CUCCUGUUUCCCUGCAGCGCAGCCCCCGGAGGCGGGAGGGGGGCAUCCCCUAGGGACACUGCUCUCUGUGGCUUCCCCUCCACACCUCGCGGGGGGGGGGGUGUAGCGGGAGGCCGUUAGACGGCGGGGCAGGGCUGGCCCCGCUUAUGUAAUAACAGGCAACCCCAGGGAGAGGCGCAGAGCCUCACCGAGGAGAACACGGACGAGAGCCCUGCCCUCCGUGAGCCCCCCAGGGCUGCCCAGGAUGGAGGUGCCCUGAGAAGGCCCCCCCCAGCUUGCAGUACGGACCACGCUCGGCUGCCCCAGCACCUCGGGGUCCUCCGGGAAGGAGCCACCGUGAGGGAGACGGGGAAAAGAGUGAGAGCCCCACACGCCCCCCGGCUGGGGAUCCCAGGCAGGAGCAGAGCAGGCCUCCUCCCAGCUUCAUGAAUGUCUGAUUUUGCCAGCUGCGGGCUGCAAAUUCAUAGAACCGGCUCAGAGAAUUUCCCUACCACGGCCGGUUUUGGGGUGGCCCUUCUGGAGCAGACGCUGGGCAGGGCCUGGGCCGGCAAGAUGCCCCCUUGCCCUCCCCAGCAGGGCCGGACCCGGACAUCACUCCUGCCCGCACCACCGCUGAGUGAGCCUGGCCAGCAGGGAGAGAUGGAGCUGACCUGGCAGGAGAUCAUGUCCAUCGCGGAGCUGCAGGUGAGCCCCGAAUGGAGCCUCUGCUUCCCUCCCCCAGCCAGGCCGCCUUUGGAUCCCAGGCUCCUU